ACUUGGUUCACAUCAUUUUUUUUGUUAGAAAAUUCGUUCUAUAAUCGACAUUCUGACUGAACCAUAAUCACAAAGCGCAAGGGCUAAUAGCUGAGAAGUGCAAUUUUUUUGGUUCUUUGUGUAGUUAGGAGAAAUAUCCUACUUCAUACUCAAGUUAUCUUCAAUCUCUUAAUGUCUUAUAAAUUGGAUAUUUAACCAUUUAAGCAAAUUGAAGAAAAGACGAAAGAGUGGUUAAUCGUUAAAUUUUUUGGAUGUUCUUUACAGAUAGCGGAAUACUCCUACUCACUAGCUUUGCACCUCAGAUAAUAGCCUUACUGUCGUUUCUGUAAUCAUUUUCUUUUAAAAUCGUCUGGGAGAGUAGUCCUAUCUAAAGGAUCGGAUGCCAUCUUGGCCAAUUUGGAGUGACGACAAAACAAUCCGAAGCUU